rnacentral:rRNA from 1 species
CCUACGGGUGGCAGCAGUGGGGAAUAUUGCGCAAUGGGCGAAAGCCUGACGCAGCGACGCCGCGUGAGGGAUGAAGGUCUUCGGAUCGUAAACCUCUGUCAGCAGGGAAGAACGGGCACUGUGCUAAUCAGCAGUGCAUUGACGGUACCUGCACAGGAAGCACCGGCUAACUACGUGCCAGCAGCCGCGGUAAUACGGAGGGUGCGAGCGUUAAUCGGAAUUACUGGGCGUAAAGCGCGCGUAGGCGGUAUGUCAAGUCAAGGGUGAAAUCCCCGCGCUCAACGUGGGAACUGCCUUUGAAACUGGGAAACUGGAGUGUGUGAGAGGAUAGUGGAAUUCCAGGUGUAGGGGUGAAAUCCGUAGAUAUCUGGAGGAACAACAGUGGCGAAGGCGACUAUCUGGCACAUAACUGACGCUGAGGCGCGAAAGCGUGGGUAGCAAACAGGAUUAGAUACCCUUGUAGUC